rnacentral:tRNA from 1 species
UUGGUUGAAGCCAAACAGAGGCUUAUCACUGUUAAUGAUAGAAUUGAAUUACCCUUCCCUCCAAA